GGUAAUACUCACGGGCCAAAAGUAGGGUCGGUACGCAAAGAGAUUAAUGAGAGUAGAAGAGAAAAGGCGACGACUGCGCCUCACUUGCCGCCGAGAUGACCUCCUCCUCCCACCCUGCUGGCGGGCGACGCACCAUCUUCCUCGGCGUCGACGUCGGAACCGGCGGCGCCCGCGCCGGCCAUUUUUAGGAGAAAGGCAGACUGAUUGGUUCGGCCAGUAGCCCCAUACAGAUACGGAAGCAAAAAGAUUGCAUUGAGGUUUUGAAGUAACGACGGAUUGCACUUUCACUUCUCCUUUGGAGUCCAGCAAAGUCCUGGAAGAAUGAUCAAAUCAUGAACCACGCUUUCAGCCGACUAGCUACAACUUUCUCAUCUUGACAUAUCAGAUCCGGAGAAGAGUAAUGACAACAAGUCUCUCUCCUGCAGGGCAUUAAUAUCACUCAUUGAUGAGGAUGGCAAACAAGUGUAUCUUUGGCAGCCCUUUCGCCCAUGAUGAGGUACACACCCAUCCAUCAUUUUCCUUUUGCUUCAUGUCUCUUUGUUCUCAUGCAGUCGUCACCUCUGCAACCGUGGUCCACUGGUUCACAUGGAGUACUGCCUUAGCCUUAACGCGAAUCUCUUGCUCCAUAUAUUUACGUUACGUUUCACAACUGCAUCCCGGAUCCGACGGUUAGUUGUUACAUACUUAGCUUUAUGAAAGCAGAUUAGGAGACAAUUAGGUAAGGCAAAAAGGCAAUGAAUGGAAGCACAAGCCUCCCCCAUAGUCCUUAUUCAAAGUUGCAUCUUUCUGCGUAGCGUGAAUGACUUGUAUUGCUCCAAAAAGGUUGCACCCUUUCUACACUUGUUGGUGGUAUUAAUGAGUGGAAGAGUCGCGAGGGAAUUGUCCUCCUUCACCGGUCCAUUUUCUCCAUGCACAUACCGGCCACAAUUAAAAGUCCCUAUUUUAGUCUCUUGUGAUUGUUUUUUCGUGUAGCAAUUAAGUCAUGUGGGAUCGAACAAAGGGGCCCUCUCCUUCUAUGCAUUUAAGACGAGCUAAUUAGAGACACAUGUUGGUCUCCUUGAUGGCAGAUAUUUUGGCCUACCGUUUCCCUUGUUAUUUUGUGUCGGGAGCGUAUUUAUGUUCUUUUAUCUUAUAUUUAAUAUUAGGCAGAGUCUUCCGUAUUAUUAAGGGAGUGAUUAAUAAGAAUUUUUACUCAUUUCUAUUUUAA